GACGAACGCUGGCGGCGUGGAUUAGGCAUGCAAGUCGGACGGUAGAGCUUUAUCGUAAGAUAGAGUUUGAGAGUGGCGAACGGGUGAGUAACACGUAGGAAUCUACCCUUAAGACGGGGACAACCCAGGGAAACUUGGGCUAAUACCGGAUGAGAGUGCGAGAGAUUGCAUUUAAAAGGAUGGCGAAAGUUGUCGCUUAGGGAUGAGCCUGCGGUCUAUUAGUUAGUUGGUGAGGUAAGAGCUCACCAAGGCGAUGAUAGAUAGGCGGCCUUAACGGGUGGUCGCCCACACUGGGAUUGAGAUACGGCCCAGACUCCUACGGGAGCAGCAGUCGAGAAUAGUCUACAAUGGCCGGAAGGCUGAUAGUGCGACGCCGCGUGAACGAGGGACGCCCGUUCGGGGUGUAAAGUUCUUUUCUAUACGAGCAGUGCUAUAUAUAUGGAUAGUAUAUAUAGAGGAUAGUAGUAUAGGAAUAAGCAACGGCUAACUCCGUGCCAGCA
rnacentral:rRNA from 1 species